rnacentral:rRNA from 1 species
UACGGAGGGUGCGAGCGUUAUCCGGAUUCACUGGGCUUAAAGGGUGCGUAGGUGGGAAUGUAAGUCAGUGGUGAAAUCUCUGAGCUUAACUCAGAAACUGCCAUUGAUACUAUGUUUCUUGAAUUUUCUGGAGGUCAGCGGAAUAUGUCAUGUAGCGGUGAAAUGCUUAGAUAUGACAUAGAACACCACUUGCGAAGGCAGCUGGCUACAGGGAUAUUGACACUGAGGCACGAAAGCGUGGGGAUCAAACAGG